GGGAGCCGUGCCCUCGCGCCCCGCACCUCCGUCGCGGGGCAAGGCGCAGGCCCGGAGCCCAGCAAUCCGGGCGUCCCCUCGGAAGGGCAGAGCUCCAGAAAACCCCCCGAGUAAGGGCGGGCCCAGAAGACAGCAAUGUGAGGCUCAUUGCAUGAUUACCUCAGAUCCUAGAGUUGGAGAGCUGGAAAGGAAGGGUCUCAUGGCCCCAUGAUGAUACAAGGCAGUCCAAGCACACAGUGAAAGGAGCUGUUCCCGUGCAACCGUUGCUGCUCGCGACAUCUGCGAGGUGAUCUUCCCCGGACACGAACAGGAUCACCUCAUUCCUAUUCCCUCCGUGAGGGAGCUGGAACCUCAGAGAGGUUUUAACCUAUGGGCAACUCCACAGAAGCGUGCUGCUGAGAAACAUUUGUGGAGGCCGAGCCCAGGCUCAAGGGGACAAACCACUGAUGGGCAGAGUCUGAGGUUGGAGCCAUGAGCACAUUCUCUGGUAAAACUUAAUAGGGCAACUUUACAGGUCCUGCACUUGAGUUCAAAAAAGCAGCUUCCCGUGGAUGGGAUGAAGGAGGUGGCCGGGCUUCACUCAGCCCAUGAGAUGGAAGUCCCAGGGUCCUCAGAUGGGACCCGCAGGAGUCAGGCACAGUGUCAUGUGUGUCCCAGUCUGCACUUCAGCUAAUGCCCGAAUGGGAUGCUACGUGCCCUUGCCGGCCCCAGGCUUUUGCGACAUUCAGCGGGGCGCAGCUGGCAGGGCAGAAGAACAUGGAACCAUGCGGGCAGGACAGCACACAGGCCAAGAGGCCACAGUCUGUGGUCAGACAUCCCAGGUCCAACGUCUUUUCCACUCCAUGAGCUCCAUGGACAGCUUACUGACUUCUCUAGCCUUCGGUUCCUAAUCCACAAAGGGAGGAGAGUAAUGCCCACCUUGCACGCUCUCUGAGGAUAAGGGCAGUGAAUAUAUGUAAAGCAGAUUAGGGGCACUGCUUAGCAAUGAGCAUCAACGUUAGUCAACACCACUAACUGAUGGAAAUGGAAGGAACCUCCCGGCACGAGAGAGUAACUGCUCUCGCCUGCCCUUGGAGAAGAUGCCCGGAGGCUGCCUGGCUCCCCAUGACGAGGGGCUUGCUACCGAGCAGGUGGCCUACAGGGGAAGGCGUGGGCCUCCCAGUAAGUGGCAGGGGGCUGCAGGGGAGCCCAGUGCCUGACACCAAUGCACCAGGCGACCUCUAGGGUCCCAGCUACACUUGAGCUUCCAUGACCCCGAGGACUUGAUAUCUUGGGUUCCCGUGGCCUAGAGAAAGGCAUUCACCGCCACCCACAUGCUAAAAAGCCAAGCAGCCACUGAAGAUUCCCAUCUCCAGGUCACCUACGUGCCCCCAAUUCACAUUUAUUCUCUAAUUGACAAGGGGGAAAGCACAAACCCAGCAGAGCUCUUCGGCUGCCUUCAAGGCUAGGUGGUUGGUGAUGCACUGGGAUCAAGACCCUCUUUUGUACAGAUGAAAAGGCUAAAAGGCAAAAGCAGCUACAGACGAAGCCUGAGAAAAGAUGAGUGGUUUGCUCCCACUCCCUCGUCCAGGCUAGGCCAGGCUGCCCGCCGUGUGUCAGAGAGGAAAGAGGGCUGUGUUCAGACCAGCUCCUCUUCUGACCCCGUGACCGUGACCGGCUGUGACUGGUGCACGUGGGAGGGUAGCACCACCUCCUCACAGAGUGUCUGCCCCCUGCCCUCGCCCCCGACCAGAGCUGGGCAGUCGAGCUACACACACAGAAGACAGCGGGCACCAGGAAAGCUCUUUGAAUAAAACUUUAAUAAUGUACAGCAGAAAUUGGACAGGCUCAU